AAAAACCCCUACAUAAACAAAUACAUGGGCGCAGACAUUUUGGACACCCAAAGUUGUGCGGAGGAGAAAAUGCUAGCUGGCGCGUGAUUGGUCAAUAAGAGAAAAGACUUGUUAUGUAUUUGACAAGUGAAAUAAAGUUGAUAAAAAUCUCAUAUCAAGACUUGGGUUUCUUUGAGGUAUAUAUGAGUUACAGCAAUGCAUUAUCAAGAAGGAAGAGAUUAAUGAACCCUACCCUCUUACAAUGAACAACACAUGGACACCCUCGGGAUGAUCCCUCUGCUUUCAUUAAGAGUUCCAAGAUGUUGGUCUGAUUGACUGGGGUGUGAAAUGUAACAGCCAAUGGUGUACUUAAGCUAAGACUGUCAGUCCCAAUAUUCAAGAGG